rnacentral:rRNA from 1 species
AGUGAACGCUGGCGGUAGGCCUAACACAUGCAAGCCGAACGGCAGCACAGUAAGAGCUUGCUCUUACGGGUGGCGAGUGGCGGACGGGUGAGGAAUACAUCGGAAUCUACUUUUUCGUGGGGGAUAACGUAGGGAAACUUACGCUAAUACCGCAUACGACCUACGGGUGAAAGCAGGGGAUCUUCGGACCUUGCGCGAUUGAAUGAGCCGAUGUCGGAUUAGCUAGUUGGCGGGGUAAAGGCCCACCAAGGCGACGAUCCGUAGCUGGUCUGAGAGGAUGAUCAGCCACACUGGAACUGAGACACGGUCCAGACUCCUACGGGAGGCAGCAGUGGGGAAUAUUGGACAAUGGGCGCAAGCCUGAUCCAGCCAUACCGCGUGGGUGAAGAAGGCCUUCAGGUUGUAAAGCCCUUUUGUUGGGAAAGAAAAGCAGCAGGUUAAUACCCCGCUGUUCUGACGGUACCCAAAGAAUAAGCACCGGCUAACUUCGUG